GAUGAACGCUAGCGGCAGGCUUAAUACAUGCAAGUCGAGGGGCAGCACGGGAGUAGCAAUACAACUGGUGGCGACCGGCGCACGGGUGAGUAACGCGUAUGCAAUCUACCUAUCAGAGGGGCAUAACCCGGCGAAAGUCGGACUAAUACCGCAUAAAACAGAGACGCUGCAUGGUGUUUCUGUUAAAGAUUUAUCGCUGAUAGAUGAGCAUGCGUUCCAUUAGGCAGUUGGUGAGGUCACGGCUCACCAAACCAACGAUGGAUAGGGGAACUGAGAGGUUGGUCCCCCACACUGGUACUGAGACACGGACCAGACUCCUACGGGAGGCAG
rnacentral:rRNA from 1 species